rnacentral:rRNA from 1 species
UGGGGAAUAUUGGACAAUGGGCGCAAGCCUGAUCCAGCCAUGCCGCGUGAGUGAUGAAGGCCUUAGGGUUGUAAAGCUCUUUUAGCAGGGAAGAUAAUGACGGUACCUGCAGAAAAAGCCCCGGCUAACUUCGUGCCAGCAGCCGCGGUAAUACGAAGGGGGCUAGCGUUGCUCGGAAUUACUGGGCGUAAAGCGCACGUAGGCGGACUCUUAAGUCGGUGGUGAAAUCCUGGAGCUCAACUCCAGAACUGCCUUCGAUACUGGGAGUCUUGAGUUCGGGAGAGGUGAGUGGAACUGCGAGUGUAGAGGUGAAAUUCGUAGAUAUUCGCAAGAACACCAGUGGCGAAGGCGGCCCACUGGCCCGAUACUGACGCUGAGGUGCGAAAGCGUGGGGAGCAAACA